GAUGAACGCUGGCGGCGUGCCUAAUACAUGCAAGUCGAGCGAACAGACGAGGAGCUUGCUCCUCUGACGUUAGCGGCGGACGGGUGAGUAACACGUGGAUAACCUACCUAUAAGACUGGGAUAACUUCGGGAAACCGGAGCUAAUACCGGAUAAUAUAUUGAACCGCAUGGUUCCAUAGUGAAAGACGGUUUUGCUGUCACUUAUAGAUGGAUCCGCGCCGCAUUAGCUAGUUGGUAAGGUAACGGCUUACCAAGGCGACGAUGCGUAGCCGACCUGAGAGGGUGAUCGGCCACACUGGAACUGAGCCACGGUCCAGACUCCUACGGGAGGCAGCAGUAGGGAAUCUUCCGCAAUGGGCGAAAGCCUGACGGAGCAACGCCGCGUGAGUGAUGAAGGUCUUCGGAUCGUAAAACUCUGUUAUUAGGGAAGAACAAAUGUGUAAGUAACUAUGCACGUCUUGACGGUACCUAAUCAGAAAGCCACGGCUAACUACGUG
rnacentral:rRNA from 1 species